rnacentral:rRNA from 1 species
GACGGAGGAUGCAAGCGUUAUCCGGAAUGAUUGGGCGUAAAGCGUCCGCAGGUGGCAGUUCAAGUCUGCUGUCAAAGACCGGGGCUUAACUUCGGAAAGGCAGUGGAAACUGAACAGCUAGAGUAUGGUAGGGGCAGAGGGAAUUCCUGGUGUAGCGGUGAAAUGCGUAGAGAUCAGGAAGAACAUCGGUGGCGAAGGCGCACAUCUGGCCCGAUACUGACGCUGAAGCGCGAAAGCUAGGGGAGCAAACGGG